CCUACGGGAGGCAGCAGUGGGGAAUAUUGGACAAUGGGCGAAAGCCUGAUCCAGCCAUGCCGCGUGUGUGAAGAAGGUCUUCGGAUUGUAAAGCACUUUAAGUUGGGAGGAAGGGCAGUUACCUAAUACGUGAUUGUUUUGACGUUACCGACAGAAUAAGCACCGGCUAACUCUGUGCCAG
rnacentral:rRNA from 1 species